AAGAAGGAGGCGGCGGCGGCGGCCGGAGCUGGAGGGGGAGGAGGGGAGGAACCUGAUCCUCGGUAGCGAAGGGCUGGAGGCAAACACCGAGCUCCCCCUGAGUCGCUUGGGAGCAGGGAGGGUUCUGCUACCCUGAGGGGCCCUCCCCGCGGGGCAGAGGGUGGGAGGAACUCACGGCAUGUACUUCUGAAUGUAUGCUUGCCUUGAGGAACAACGACAGGACACAGGGAUGUGGACAUUUUCAAUCAGAUGGUUCUGUCCGACAGUGUCGGCACACAGAGAGCGUUCCACUGACUGACCUCUUUUUGUUUUCAAAUGAAGAGAAGCCAAGAAUAGGACGGCCUAGGAAGGUGAGCUGCGUAAAACUCGUCAGACUGAGCUCAUCCUCGUCUAUGGCCAAAAGUUGGUUUCUCGUUUCUAGAAGAUGAAAGAUGUGAUGAUUUAGGAAAAAGCCAUUCUCUCUGCUUACUGCUUGCUGUUUGAGAUGUGCGUCUUCACACAUUCCUACCGACGUAUCUGACCGAUGCUGCCAAGAUUACCUGAUGGGAUGGAUGCUAAUGCCUCUACAACCAGAAGCCCAAGGUAGCGUGUGAUUAUUCAAUCCAUACAUGCAACGUGCAUAUAUCAAGUCAGCAAGAUUGGCCUUUCUGUCUUAUUGGACAUCUGUCAUGCUUCUGUGUCUGGAGCCUGCAAAGGCCUCUCUUCUAGCUCUUUGUAAAUGUGGAGAAUGGCAGAAAUAUUCAGGAAACCUAAGCCCGACUCUUGAAAAAAAAAUUCAGAUGCUGGCAGAGCCCCAAAAUGGAUAUUGGGAAGCAUUUUGAGAACUACUGUUCACAGAGAGCACAGAGAGAAGCUUCCAGCACUUUGGAGGCAGAGGUUAUUGGGAUAGGAGCUCUAACCUGCCCAGGGGGUCAGACCUUGUCAAUCAAAGUCUCAACACAUCCUUGCUGUGGAUACUAAAUCCCACCCUGUUCUCCAAAAAGUGCAGCCAAGAGGUGGAGGGCUUCAUCCCUGACUAAGCCUCCGCUUAGGACACUCUCACGUCCAGAAGGUCAUAAGGGCACCUGGAUAAGACAUCGUGAGUGAACCUCUAUGGCUUCUCCAGUAUUGAAAGCCACAUCAGUUGCACACGUUUCUAAGAGGGUCCGCUGGUGCACGUGUUUAUGAAGAUGUCUCACAAUAUAAAGAGAUUUCAGUUCUUUGUGCCACCCACAUCCUUGAGUAUGUCUCCUGAGACACACGUGGGAGUCUGUCUGGGGUAUAAAUGAGGAUGGACGUUGCCCGAAAUGCAUAUGGGCUUUUGACUUCACCCGGUUGCUUUCGGGACUAUUGUGCACAAUGGCCAAAUGGAGGCUCUCUUUUUCAUUUACCAAUUACUCUUCUUAAAGAAAUACGUGAGGAGGAGCGUUAUGGGUUCCCAAGGUAUGAGAGACUGGUUCUUGCUCUGAAGAAGGUUUCAUUCUCAUCCGAAUGGAGAGACAUUUGCACUUGAAGGCAGCUGUGAUUUGGGAGCCCAGGAUGUGAGGAAUGUGUGCCACUGAAGUAAGGACCCACCCAGAAUGUGGGCUAAGCCUCCCCUCUCAUGACCCUCAACUGAAAUCACAGCUUUUGCCAUGGAAUGCAGAGAUGAAUCCUGGGGCAGCAGCGAGUGUGAGAGGAGAAGGGAAGCAGAAUAAGACAAGGUGUUCUGCCAGAGGGAGCUUGAGUAUCCACGGAAAGACGGAAUGCCUGCACAAGUGGCUUCGCAGAACAGUAAUGUGCUACAGGAUGAAGCCAUGCCUCAAGAAGGUUCUUGGAUGCUGUAAGAAGGGACCGACGGGACUGGAGAGAUGGCCCAUGGUUAAGAACACUGGCUGUUGUUCCAGGGGAUCCAGGUUGAAUUCCCAGCACCUACAUGGCAGCUCACAACUGUCUGUCACUCCAAUUCCAGAGGAUACGGCCACCCUCACACAGACAUACAUGAAAUGUCUGAGCUACUGAAGGGAGAUAAAGUUGCAUGCUGGUUAAAUGGCUUCUAGCUGUGAGUGCAAACAUGGAAAUGUACUGAGCCAUUGCAAUGAGGAAGCUGCUUCUCGAACCUAAGAAGGCUGCAGCAGAGCUGCGGGCAAGUUCCUGAAGCAGCUGAGGUCAUUCACCCUUCUCGCUGGCUCAGGCCCGGCCUUCAGCAAGAUUAAGAUUUGGAUUUGGAAAACCUGAGUGACACAUCAAGACAAAAACAAUGUGAUAAGAAAUUUUCUUUCUCCUCUUGUUUUCCCUGUGUCUGGAGUUUCUUCAAGAACAUGAAAUGAGAGAGAAAACCAUAACUUAAAGGUAUUGAGAUAUGAGAACAUUUUGAGAAGGCACUUGGGUGGCGCUCUGUCUGUAACUGAACCUUGCCUGUGCUUGGCUGGCACUCCCUUUACAGCACGCAGAGUCUUGAGGUCCAAAGCCCCUCUUCCUGCAAAAUGGUUAUCCUGGUGGCAUUGCUCUAAAUAGAAGGACUUAGGUAGGGUAAACAGGAGGAUUGUGAGCAAGCCUUAAGGUUUCUGAUCACUAGAAAAGCAGAUCUUUUAAGAGGGUUUACCAGGAACCUCAGCCUUUAACCUUUCCUGCAAAGGUCAGCUACCACAGGCAUGGGCAUCUAGUUCCUGCUCAGUCCUGAUGGCCUGUAUCAGCUCAAGUCCCCACCCCGAUGACUGUCAUAUCUGCUUGGUUUCCCACCAUUUUGCUUUUCUCUCUACCUUGGCAGUUUGAGCCCCAGUGAAUCUUUCUUUCUGCCCAUAGACCAGUCUAGUUCAGUAAUUUCUCUGCCCCGAGUCUCAGGUAUUAAUCUGCGAGGACGGCCUCCAUCUGGGGACUUUUUUCUGUUCUCAGUGAAGUGGCACAUUCAGUUCCUGGUGCAGCGUCCGUUCGUUUCUUUUAGUCAUUUCACAGCUGUUUGCUGGGAGGAGCAAGACUGAACUACUUGGGGCUGAUUUCACAAGGAAGCUGAAAACAAGGCCUUCCCAGUUCCCGUUUGUGAUUUUCAAGUCAAUAAAGCAUGUCUGUCUUGGUGGAUGUUUCUCUCUAACUGGCUUCAGUUGUCUGCUGAGCUGUCUACCUGGCUUCCCCUUGGCUGGGAAACCUCGGUUUGUGGCCAUCCUGUUACAGGUGGAUGGCUGCCCGGCUGCCCACCGUUGUUUGUUAUUAAAUUGGUGAUGCAAUUUCUGUUUGGCAGUUUGUGACUGCAAGGUUAUUCAAGGAUGCUGUUUAGAAAUACAAGUGAGCUACAGAACGAGAUGUCGGAGCGGAUGGUCGGUUUGUUAUGUUUUUUUCUUUUUUUUUUUAAGGCUGUUCAGGGACAGUAGACGAAUGCACAAAUUUGUUAUUGUGGAUUGUUAUGAAUCCCAAAGACGCACAUACGGGGAUCAUUAUUGUAGAUUGGCUUGUGACAGCUGGCCCUGAUUUACUUAUUUCCUCAAGAAGACACUUUGAACAAUUAUUGAAAUGCCUCCCCUCUGUAAUUAUAAUAAUAAUGAUGAUGAUUUUGCAACUGAAUAUGCAAUUCAGGGCGUACACACUCAACUGUUUUUAGCUUGUUUCUCUUUUUACAUUGAUGUCAGCUGCUGUCUUGGCUUGUGAAGAGCUGAGAAGGACUUUCCAACCAAGGGUCAAUGAGCUACAUGAAGAGUCAUCUGUGGCCAACCCGGGAAAUUACUAAAAUAAUAAUUUUAGUAAUAUACAUUACAAUACAAUAAUAUUACAGUUAGUAUGUAAGGAGCAAGCUAACUAUGGGCAGGGUUCUUUUUUCUCCUUUUU
ensembl:lncRNA